AAAGAACAUAGAGGGCAGGCCGGGCGCAGUGGCUCACGCCUGUAAUCCCAGCACUUUGGGAGGCCGAGGUGGGUGGAUCACCUGAGAUCUGGAGUUCGAGACCAGCCUGACCAACAUGGUGAAAACCUGCCUCUACUAAAAAUUCAAAAUUAGCUGGGCAUGGUUGCGUGUGCCUGUGAUCCCAGCUACUCGGGAGGCUGAGGCAGGAUAAUCGCUUGAACACGGGAGGUGGAGGUUGCGGUGAGCUGAGAUCACGCCAUUGCACUCCAGCCUGGGCAACAAGAGCGAAACUCCGUCUCAACAAAACAAACAAACAAAAGAACAUAGAGGGCAAAGAGUGAAAGAUUUUUACAGGACAAAUGUGGAAAUAGCACCUGAAACUCCUGUUCACAAUGAAUUAGCUGGAAAGAUAAGGAAGCCUGGGAAAUGUGGUUUAGCUGUGUGUCCUUGAUGAAAAGAAGAAUAUGGGUCUUUUUUUGAGCAGAAAGGAAUCUCUCAUUCUUCUGUACAAUUGCAUUCUAGGGCAUUUUAUGAGAGAAAAUGAACAUUAUCCUAUAUGAUUGGGGUAACUAUACUUCCUGGAUUCCCUAGGACUACCUUGAUUUACGCUUAUUGUCUCUGAACAAUUAUUAAUAGCACUUCCACUUUUUCUAUAAACUGACCUGAUUUGAUGAUUUGGUUAAUAAUUUAUAUGUUCAUCAUAUCAGAUGAGAAGCCAAGGAGGAGAAUUCUCCAUUUUGUAAAAGAAUAUAUCAAAUGUGCCUAUUGAAAACAAGAAAUCAACCUGCUGGGCUCCUCAAGGAAAAACAUUUUGUUUAGUAUGUUUCCAAUUCCACUAAAAUGAGAUUUGGCAAGAUUUUGGACCAUAUGUCUUUAGCAUUCUCUAAACUGGAAUGACUAAAAAGGUGUUUAAAAAUUUUAACAAAGUACAAAUAUACACCUGUCUAGAAAAUGUGUCCUUUAAAAUGAAUUUCUAAGUCAUCUGAAAAAUAGUAGUGGCCCCUAUAUUACUUUCUUAUCUAUACUCAAAAUAAAUAUAUCUUGGUGCUUUGUUAAUAAAAGUUAUUAUUAUCAUUUUGUUUUGUUUUUGAGACAGGGUCUUGCUCUGUUGCCCAGGAUGGAGUGUAGUGGUGCUCUUAUAGCUCACUGCAGCCUUGCCUUCCCAGACUCAAGCCACCCUCUCACCUCAGCCUCCUAAGUAGCUGGGACCACAGGUGUGUAUGCACACCA
rnacentral:lncRNA from 1 species